rnacentral:rRNA from 1 species
UACGUAGGGACCAAGCGUUGUUCGGAUUUACUGGGCGUAAAGGGCGCGUAGGCGGCGCGGUAAGUCACUUGUGAAAUCUCUGAGCUUAACUCAGAACGGCCAAGUGAUACUGCAGUGCUAGAGUGCGGAAGGGGCAAUCGGAAUUCUUGGUGUAGCGGCGAAAUGCGUAGAUAUCAAGAGGAACACCUGAGGUGAAGACGACUACCUGGACCAGCACUGACACUGAGGCACGAAAGCGUGGGGAGCAAACAGG